rnacentral:rRNA from 1 species
CCUACGGGAGGCAGCAGGGAGGAAGAGUGGUCAAUGGCCGGAAGGCGGAACCAGCCAAGCCGCGGGAAGGACGAAGGUGCCAAGCAUUGUAAACUUCUUUUGUCAAGGGACAAAAUCAGGCUCGAGAGCCUGACCGAGGGUACUUGAAGAAAAAGCAUCGGCUAACUCCGUGCCAGCAGCCGCGGUAAUACGGAGGAUGCGAGCGUUAUCCGGAUUUAUUGGGUUUAAAGGGUGCGUAGGCGGGCUGUUAAGGCAGCGGGAAAAGCCCGGGGCUCACCCCCGGCGGGCCGUUGAAACUGGCUGUCUUGAGCUGUCGCGCGGUCUGCGGAUUGCGCGGUGUAGCGGU